CCCUUAGAUGUCCUGGGCCGCACGCGCGCUACACUGAUGCAUUCAACGAGUUUUACCUUGGCCGAGAGGCCUGGGCAAUCUUUUAAACCUGCAUCGUGAUAGGGAUAGAUUAUUGCAAUUUUUAACCUUGAACGAGGAAUUCCUAGUAAACGCAAAUCAUCAAUUUGCAUUGAUUACGUCCCUGCCCUUUGUACACACCGCCCGUCGCACCUACCGAUUGAAUGGUCCGGUGAAGCCUCGGGAUUGUGGCCAGUUCACUUUAUUGGGAGUUGGCUGUGAGAACUUGUCUAAACCUUAUCAUUUAGAGGAAGGUGAAGUCGUAACA
rnacentral:rRNA from 1 species